CUCUCGUUCUCCCCACUCCCGAAACCCUCUCUUCGGCUCUCUCUCCCUCUCUUUUGCUCUCAACCAAAAACCCAUCAAAACAACAUGAAACCUACACAAACCCAUCUCCAUUUUAACUUCUAUAUGCAUUAUUGAGCCUUAAUUUCGUGGGUCAAGCUCGGGGAAGGAGGAACCGGCUGAUUUUGAAGUUUUGGAGGUUAGGGCUUUGUUUGAUCUCAUGAGUUCGGCUUUGAUACUUGAGGUACAAAUCAGAGGCUGUGACAUGGGUUGCUGUGCUUGCAUGUGAUCCUACAUUUUGAAAGCGACUUCAGAGAGUUAAUUUUGCAUCUCUUAUAAACUUUAUCUCCGGAUGAAGAAAUUGUAAUCUUAUUAUUAUUAUUAUUAUUAAAUUUUAUUUUUUUGUUAAAUGAAGGAUCCCUAUAAACUCUUAACUUUCUUUUAACGUGAUCUAGUGGUUUUAGGCCGUUGGGCCAAAGAUGUAAAUUUGGAAAUGCUUUGGAGUUUGGAGAUGAUUUGCGAACAAGGGGAUUAGAAAUGGCUUUUGG